rnacentral:rRNA from 1 species
UACGAAGGGUGCAAGCGUUACUCGGAAUCACUGGGCGUAAAGCGUGCGUAGGCGGUUGGUUAAGUCUGCUGUGAAAGCCCUGGGCUCAACCUGGGAACUGCAGUGGAUACUGGCCAGCUCGAGUGUGAUAGAGGAUGGUGGAAUUCCCGGUGUAGCGGUGAAAUGCGUAGAGAUCGGGAGGAACGACCAGUGGCGAAGGCGGCCAUCUCGGAUCAACA